UAUGUCCUUUCAUGUGGUGCCAUAUUUUGACCAAGUCAACAUCACAUGCUAAUCACAUGUCCAUCAUGCCUCACCUCUUGAUCUUUCAUGAUGAUGAUCCAAGGGCUCCAAUGCAAGGCGCCAUUCACUUGACCCAAUAUGUCUUCAUCCAAUGGUGGGAUUAAGAUCCAAUGGUCAAUUAUGAUAGCCAUCCUCUAACCCAAUCCAAUUGGGUUAAACCAACUCUCCAUUAUGUCUUCAUCCAACGGUAGAUCAAGAUUUAACGGUCUAGAUUGAAUGAUUUAUUAAAUCUAAUCCAAUUAGACUCAAACCAAGCCAAUUAGGUGCCAACUCUUGGUUAACCCAUAUUAGAACAUGAUCU
rnacentral:lncRNA from 1 species